GGGCGGCGCGCGCUCGCCACGCCCACAGCCCGCCGCGCCCCCCGGCGGGCCGCCUUCAAAGACGCAAACCGCCUCGCUUCUGGGGACCCGGGAGGCCCGAGGUUUGCUCGGUGGCUGAAGCCUGCCGCCGGCCGCGCCCCCCAGGAAAUGACCAUCUUAUGGCGAGAGCUCCUCUGGAGGAAGCAUUGCAGAGAUGAGAACCGCACACAUGGGAAGAAAACACGGGCAUAAGGUCUGAUCAAUACCUGGCCAGUCGCGGCUCCAAGAAAUGGUACCGUUCCUCUCUGAGGCUUCCUCCAAAGAGCUCUCCAACUCCAGGAACCAGAAGAUCAACAGCAGCAACCUAAAAAGGAAAAAAGUUGUAAACAAUUUCACAUUUUCAGGGGAUUCCAACAAUUGCCAGCUUCUCAAGCAGGUGGAACUUUAAACAUUUUGACAAGUGGCUGUUAAACUGCUUAGCAGAAUCUUAUUUAUGUUAUCUGUUUAUGCUGCCUGUUUCAAAAUCAAAUUUUUAAUAUCUUUAGAAUACAUGAUACACAAAUUGCAGAUGGACAGUUUCCUCUCCUCUCUUAUACCACGUAUGUAGUGUACUUAAUAGAAAUGUGUUUUCUUCACAAAUGUGGUAUGUUAAUAGUAAAAAAUGGGGCAAGUGUUAAAAAUUAUGAGAUAUUAAAAGUCAUCCAUCACCAUGCAGUAGCAAUUGAAUUUUGGCAUAUUUUCUUUCUGGUUUUUCUCUUCCACAUUUAAGGAGUAUAAUAGAUCAAAUUACACAUAAACAUUUACCAUUCUAAUGUUUUACUUAAUAUUAUAAUUUUUUUUCCUAUGUCAGUUGAAAUACUGUGCACACAGUGUUUUUUUUUUUUAAAGUAGUCUCUCCACCCAACAUGGGACUUGAACUCACAACCCUGAGAUCAAGAGUCAACACUCCACUGACUGAGCUAGCCAGGUGCCCCCAUACUUAAUGGUUUAAUAGCCGCACAGUUUAUUGUUUAGAAGCAGACAUUUUUAUCUGUUUUUCUUUUGUUGAACAUUUUGGUGUAUGUCUUUUGUUUCUCUUAAAUAAUUUGGCAAUGAAGAUUUUUCUUUAUAGUAUUUUGGUAGGACAUGGAAAAUAUGUCCUGAUUACUGGGGCAACUGGGUGGCUCAGUCAGCUGAGUGUCCGACUCUCAAUCUCCGCUCAUGUCUUGAUCUCAGGAUCGUGGGUUCAAGCCUCACAUGUGGGCUCCACGUUGGGCAUGGAACCUAUCUUAAAAAAUAAUGAAAAUGUUCUGAUUAUGAAUCAAAGAAGUAAAAACUGAAACAAUGAGAUAGUAUAUUGGGCUAUCAAAAUGUGAAGGUAAGAAAACAACAUAAACAACGUGGAUUAGAAGACACAUGAGCCAGUACUCUCCCACGUCUGAUAGAACCUUUCUGGUCAGCAUCUUGGGAAAAGAUCAUCAAAACCCUUAAAAAUGCCAUAUGCUUUGACCCAGCAAUGGCAGUUCUAGGAACUAGUCCUAACUAAUCUGAGAUGAAAACAAAAACACGCACAGGGUGUUUAUUGCAGCAUUACUAACAAAAAUUCAAGUACAUGUCAAUAGGAGCCGACUGUUAGGUACAUCUUAGACAUGGAUAAAACAAAGACUGGCAUCUACAUGAUGAGAUGUUAAUUAUGCUGUCACUGUGAUUUCUUCUGUUCUCUGCUAUUUUCUUAUUCUGUACAAUGAAGACGUGUUAUACUUUUGUAAUAAGAAAGCAACAAAAAACUUUUAAUGGUGGAAAAUGGUAGCUUGAUAUUUUCAUUUGUAUUCCAAUUACUAGUAAUAUUUAAUUUUGAGAAUGUUCGCUAACUGUAUUCUUCUGUGACUUGGUGAUUCUUUUUUGUGGGGCAUGUAGUAAGCAUUAUUAAAGAGACACAAAACUGGGGUGCCUGGGUGGCUCAGUCGGUUGAGCGUCUGACUUGGUUCCACCAGGUCAUGAUCUUGGGGUCAUGAGAUAAAGCCCCAUCGGGCUCUGCGCUCAGGGCACAGAGUCUGCUUGGG